GCGAAAAAGUAAGGUGGGGGUGGGUUUCAAUAAAAUCGUAUGGGGCCGCUAUGCGGCGACUACGCUCAACAAUGAGCCGGGGCUCCCUCUUUCAUUUGAGGUGCCAAAAGAUGUCAAAAAAAUUAUUUCCUCGGGCCUUCGCGUCGAUCGAAAAGAUUCCGGAUAAAAAUAUAAGUGAGUCGAGUAAGUAAACAAUCAAAAUGUGAUGCCACACGUACUCUCGGCCCCCACCAAAGAGUGUCGAAACCGUCGAAACAAAAAACAUUUUUUACCACUGUUCGACCAAUAACAACGAACUUCUCUGGUUCGUGCAGAAUUAUGGGUUAGGACUACCUCGCCAAAGUUUCCGUUCAAUCGUAAUGCUCACAAUUCACAAAAUAUAGAAAGAAGGCAUUCGUGGAUUUCAGCGCAUAUCAAAGACAAAAGCACUGCAAAUUUUUACCUACUUGAAAUAUCGUCCGACGAAGCUCUUCCCCGAUUUUCAUCGACCGGAUUCGAUCCAAAGUAUCUUCGGAGUUGAUUUUCGACCAAGCGACUUUGAUGAUGAUGACGAAAAUAUAAAAAUUUGGGAAAUCACGAGAUGGUAGAGUAUUUUCAUUACUCGUAUUUUUACAGGCUCGACAAACAAGAAAUUUUGCAUCAUUGAUGAAAAUUGGAAAAAUAGCAAAAUCAUUGAAAUCUCGAUGAAGAUUAAUUCAGCGAGAAAAUGGUAGAAAUUACGAUGCAGACGAUCGCCGAGGCAGUAUUUUGGGUUGAACGCCAAAAAUGACAAUGAAAUUUUCUCAGUGAAUGAAAGUGAGGUAAAAAA